ACAGCGCUCCUCCUUGACGCCGCGAGCAGGACCCUGUCUCACUGACCCCGUGCCCACGGCGGUCCUUGCCUGCUUCUAUUCUCCCGGUUUCCCCAGUCCCGAGUAUUGGAAAGCGAGAGCGAAAGCGAAAGCAUCCUAGUCGCCGGUAGGCUGGCCUGGGCCGGGCUGGAGAGGGAGCAGGAAAUAAAAACUCGGGUGUGGGAGGAGCUGGGACGCUGGCGGCAGAGCCACUGUGGCAGCUUGAGUCUCGCGCGCGCAGGAAGCGGAGGUGGAAGUUGGGGCGCAGGAAUGUGGCUGUCCCCGCCUGUAAAUCAUGGUUGGGGAGGAGUCGCGGAGGCACCAGGCUGGGGUCUGCAGCGCGCCAUCUGCUGCAGCACACAGGAGGCGCUGAGGCUAGUUGGAGACAGAGUCUCACUGUGUCACCCAGGCUGGAGUGAAGUGGCAUGAUCUUGGCUUACUGAAACCUCCAUCUCCCAGGUUCAAGCGAUUCUCAUGCCUCAGCCACUUGAGUAGCUGGGACUACAGGAUUUCGCCAUGUUCCCCAGGCUGGUCUCAAACUCCUGAACUCAGGCAGCCCGCCUACCUUGGCCUCCCAAAGUGCUAGGCUCACAGCCCAAAUGACCCUCCAAGACCCUCUGGAGGCACCCGCAGUGCUCCUUAAUUUGCAGCUCUACAGAAUGAGACCAGCGUGGCAGCCCCCUUUCAGGACAGCUCCCGAGACGAGACGCGAGAGCAGCCCCUAAAUCUCACCCAGCAAAGCCGUUUCUUCCUAACCGGGCUGGGGAGUGCCGCGCGCUGCCAGCAGAUGGCGACAGAGGAUUAGCCUGCGGAAACCGGCCUUUUUAUAGCCAACAAGAGCAAAAGCACACUGCAAUGUCCAAACGAAUUGCAGGCGUUUUCUGCUCCCUGAAGCCUGGGAAUUAAUUUAUAUACUCAGUCCCUUUUCCCUUGGCUGGCCAUUGAAGUAGUUGAACCACAGGAUUGGACUGUCCAGAAUCAUUAGCCAGAGUUCACUGUGAGUGGACGUCUUUUAGUUCUGCUUCAACGCUAUAACCAACCUUUACCAAAAGCAACAACAAAACAAAAAACUGCAGAAACCAAUGAGUUCUGUUCACAAAGGAUGGCUCCUCAUGUCAUCACACCGGCAAGGAAUGGACGAGCCUCUGAUUUUUCUCUUCUUGGCUGACUUUACAAGGUUGGAUGCAGUCCAUGAGGAUCAUGCAGCAAAGACAGAAAGUGCUGGAGAAGCCCAACCUGCAGGGCCUCACCUUUAGCUGGUUUGUGUGGUUCCACUUCAUGUAGCUGUUGGAACACCAGUCUCUCUAAUGUGCUCUAUGGGAUAGCUGUUACCUUCCACUAAUUUAUGUCUAAUACCUAUAAACCUAAAGUAUCUUUUUAAAAAUUUUAUUCCGUCUUUUUGGAGGAAAUUUUUGUGCAUGCCAGAUAUAGUGUCAAGCAUUGGGAUUGCUAAGAUGAACGUAACAUUGUCCUCACCACCCAUUAAGUCACAAUCUAGUAGAUGAGUAAAAGUAAAAAAAAAAAUUAAAAAAAGAGUUAUAACCAUAAUACAGAAGUGAACAGGUUGCAGUGGUAGCACAGAGAGGGCUUCAGGGAUGCUGUCACAGAGGUGGUAACAUUUGAGAUAUAGAUUCCAAAUUCAGAUGUGUUUGCUGUUGCAAAAUUCCAGGGUCUAUGUGCCCAGUUCCUGAACAUUCCAGUGAUAAUUUUUACCUAAAAUUUAGGUGGCAAAUGAAUCUUACUAUAACCACUUGGAACCACUGUGUUUCUGGUCCAUCUUGUGAGGCCCAUCUUUGGUUCAGAGGGAUGGAGGCAGAAGUCAUACGGCAGCUUCACGAUUCGAACUCAAAUGUCUGGUCAGCUACUCAGCCAUCUCUUCCAAGCUGUCAGGUUUCCCUAAGGUAAGAGCCAUACUGAUAUGGUUUGGCUCUGUGUCCCCACCCAAAUCUCAUCUUGAAUUUUAAUCCCAAUAACCCCCAAGUGUCAAGGGGGGAAUCUGGUGGGAGGUGAUUGGAUCAUGGGGACAGUUUUGCCCAUGCUGUUCUCAUGAUAGUGAGUUCUCAUAAGAUAUGAUGGUUUUAUAAGGGGCUAUUCCCACUACACUUUUAUCUCUCCUGCCACCCUGUGAAGAAGGACAUAUUUUCUUCCCCUAAUUCCAUGAUUGUAAGUUUCCUGAGGCCCCCCAGCCAUGUGGAACUGUGAGUGAAUUAAACCUCUUUCCUUUAUAAAUUACCCAGUUUUGGGUAUUUCUUUGUAGCAGUGUAAAAACAGAUUAAUACAGGAAAUUGGUACCAGGAGUUUGGGGCACUGCCACAAAGAUACUUAAAAAUGUGGAAACCACUUCGGAACUGGGUAACAGGAAGAAGUUGGGACAGUUUGGAGGGCUCAGAAGACAGGAAGAUGUGGGAAAGUGUGGAACUUCCUAGAGACUUGCUGAAUGGUUUUGACCAAGAUGCUGAGAGUGAUAUGGACAACGAAGUACAGGCUGAGGUGUUCUUAUAUGGAGAUGAGGAACUUAUUUGAAACUGGAGCAAAUGUCACUCUUGCUAUGCUUUAGCAAAGAGACUGGAGGCAUUUUACCCCUGACCUAGAGAUCGGUGGAACUUUGAACUUUUAUUAGUCCAUUUUCAUACUGCUAUGAAGAAGUACCUGAGAUUGAGUAAUUUAUAAAGAAAAAGAGGUUUAAUGUACUCACAGUUCCACAUGGCAGAGGAGGCCUCACAAUCAUGGUGGAAGGUGAAGGAGGAGGAAAGCCGUGUCUUACAUGAUGGCAGUCAACAGAGCAUGUGCAGGGGAACUGCCCUUUAUAAAACCAUCAGGUCUUGUGAGACUUAUUCACUAUCACAAGAACAGCACAGGAAAAACCCACCCCCAUGAUUCAAUUACCUCCCACUGGGUCCCUCCCAGGACAUAUGGGGAUUAUGGGAGCUACAAUUCAAGAUGAGAUUUGGGUGGGGACAGAGCCACACCAUAUAAUUCCACCCCUGGUCCCUCCCAAAUCUCAUGUCCUUACAAUUCGAAACACAAUCAUCCCCUUCCAACCGUCUCCCAAAGUCUUAACUAAUUGCAGCAUUAAUACAAAAGUCCAAAUCCAGAGUCUCAUCUGAGACAAGGCAAGUCCCUUCCACCUAUGAGCCUGUAAAAUCAAAAGCAAGUCAGUUACUUCCUAGAUAUAAUGGGGGUAGAGGCUUUGGGUAAAUAUACCCAUUCCAAAUGGGAUAAAUUGCCAAAACAAAAGGGCCACAGCCCCCAUGCAAGUCCAAAAUCCAGCAGGGCAGUCAAAUCUUAAAGCUCCAAAAUAAGCUUUGACUAUAUGCCUCACAUCCAGGUCACACUGAUGCAAGAGGUGGGUUCCCAUGGUCCUGGGCAGCUCUGCCCCUGUGGCUUUGCAGGGUACAGCCCACUCCCCCUUCCCCGGCUGCUUUCAUGAGCUGGCAUGAAAAUGGACAUUGGGCAAACUCACAGUCUGGCAUGAAGCUUUUCCAGGAGCAUGGUGCAAGCUGUUGGUGGAUUUACCAUUCUGGCGUUUGGAGGAUGGUGGCCCUCUUCUCACAGCUACACUAGGCAGUGUCUCGGGGGGACUCUCUGUGGGGGCUACCACCUCACAUUUCCCUUCUGCACUGCCCUAGCAGAGGUUCUCCAUGAGGGCUCCACCCCUGCAGCAAACUUCUGCCUGGAUAUCCAGGCGUUUCCAUACAUCCUGUGAAAUCUAGGUGGAGGUUCCCAAACCUCAAUUCUUUACUUCUGUUCACCUGCAGGCCCAACACCAUGUGUAAGGCACCAAGGCUUGGGGCUUGCACCCUCUGAGUCAAUGGCCUGAGCUAUAUCUUGGCCCCUUUUAGCCACAGCUGGGACACAGGGCACCAAGUUCUAAGACUGCACAAAGCAGCAAGACCUGGGGUUUAGCCCAUGAAACCACUUUUUCCUUCUAGGCCUCUGGGCCUGUGAUGGGAGGGGCUGUCAUGCAGACCUCUGGCAUGCUCUGGAGACAUUUUCCCCAUUGUCUUGGUGAUUAACAUUUGGCUCCUUGUUACUUAUGCAGAUUUCUGCAGCUGGCUUAAAUUUACCCUCAGAAAAUGAGGUUUUAUCUUCUAUCACAUCGACGGGCUGCAAAUUUUCUGAACUUUUAUGAUCUGCUUCCCUUUUAAACAUAAGUUCCAAUUCCAAAUGAUAUCUUUGUGAAUGACUAAAACUGAAUGCUUUUAAGAGUACCCAAGUCACAUCUUGAAUGCUUUGGUGCUUAGAAAUUUCUUCUUCCAGAUACCCUAAAUCAUCUCUCUCAAGUUCAAAGUUCCACAGAUCUCUAGGGUGGGGCAAAAUGCCACCAGCCUCUUUGCUAAAGCAUAGCAAGAAUGACCUUUGCCCCAGUGCCCAAGUUCCUCAUCUCUGUCUGAGACCAUGUCAGCCUGGAAUUUAUUGUCGGUAUCACUAUCACAUUUUGGGCAAAGGCAUUCGACAAGUCUCUAUGAAGUUCCAAACUUUCCCACAUUUUCCUGUCUUCUUCUGAGCCCCCUAACCUUUUCCAACCUCUGCCUGUUACCCAGUUCCAAAGUUGCUUCCACAUUUUCAGGUAUGUUUACAGCAGCACCCCACUCUCUGUGAUACCAAUUUACUGUAUUAGUCCAUUUUCAUACUACUAUGAAGAAAUACCUGAGACUGGGUAAUUUAUAAAGAAAAAGGGGUUUAAUGGACUCAGAGUUCUACAUGGGUGGGGAGGACUCACAAUCAUGGUGGAAGAUGAAAGAGGAGCAAAGGCACAUCUUACAUGGCAGCAGGCAAGAGGGAGCAUGUGUAGGGGAACUCUCCUAUAUAACUAUCAGAUCUUGUGAGACUUAUUCACUAUUGCAAGAACAGCAUAGAAAAAACUCAUCCCCGUGAUUCAAUUACCACCCACUGGGUCCCUCCCAGGACAUGUGGGGAUUAUGGGAGCUACAGUUCAAGAUGAGAUUUGGGUGGGGACACAACCAAACCAUAUCAGAACUUGAGAGAGAUUAUUUGAAAUUGGAACAUAUGUUUAAAGGGAAGGAGAAUGUAAAAGUCUGGAAAAUUUGCAGCCUGACCAUAUGGUAGAAAAGAAAAACCCAUUUUCUGGGAAGAAACUCAAGCUAGCUACAGAAAUUUGCAUAAGUAACGAGAAGCCAAAUCUUAAUUGCCAAGACAAUGGGGAAAAUGUCUCCAGGGCAUGUCAGAGAACUUAGUGGCAGCUCCUCCCAUCACAAGCCUGGUUACACGGUUAGGUGGAAAAGACAAGUUGUAUGUAGAGAUCAUUAUCAGAAAUUGCUAAACUCUGUCAUCAAAAACUCUGUUGGAAUGGAUUUUAAAAUUUCUUAAUAAAAGAUGAAACAUGACUUUGGUUUAGUUUUUGAAGUGGUGCACUCUCC
rnacentral:lncRNA from 1 species